UACGUAGGGCGCAAGCGUUAUUCGGAAUUAUUGGGCGUAAAGGGCGCGUAGGCGGCGAUUCAAGUGACGGGUGAAAUCCCUCGGCUUAACCGAGGAACUGCCUGUCAGACUGGAUUGCUUGAGGCCGGGAGAGGCGAGUGGAAUUCCCAGUGUAGCGGUGAAAUGCGUAGAUAUUGGGAGGAACACCAGUGGCGAAGGCGGCUCGCUGGUCCGGUUCUGACGCUGAGGCGCGAAAGCGUGGGGAGCAAACAGG
rnacentral:rRNA from 1 species